CCACUGGAGAUGGUUAUUGGUCAAGCAGGCAAGCUCCCUCAAGACUGAAAAAGGCGUCCUGCCAGACAAUUACAGUCGUUAGUCGCUAGGCAACAUUACCCCCAUGAUACUAACUUUGCAAGUGUAUAAAAUAAACAUCCCUACUGUUGAAGUCAGUCCUCUUGCUCAUCAGGCAAGAGGUACCUCCACCUGACCCCAGCUCUUGUCUCUUGUCUUUAUUUUUCUCAUACCCACCGCCGUUUCUCUCCAGGGUACAACGAGAGACCAACGAUGUUCCCUACAAGCAUCUUUGAAGCCACAUGUUGUCAUUUAUCAACAAACAAGUUGAAUUAUUAUAUCUGGAAUUCCCAAGGUUGGGGCUGUAGAGAAGGCCUUUUUAAUGUCAUUGAAGGCUUUUCUUGUUCUGUGUUCAAAGUCAAAAAGUGUCAGAGUCUUUUCCAGUCAUGGAAUAAUAUAGGAAUCUUGCUUUUUGUGAACCGAAGGUUCCAGAUUUUGCAGAAGCCAGCAGCUCCAAAGAAUUUGCAGAGUUUGACCGGGAUGGAGCAGAAGCUUUGAGAAACCUGGAAGUGCAUGUGGUUGAGAAGAUGGAUGGGAUGGUUACACAUAUUAUCACCGUGGUUUCCUAAUGGAGGAGAAACACGAUCCAUGUAGAGGAAACCAAAUUUUACUUUGUGAAUUAUGCCAUUAGAGUCUUGAGUACGGAAAUGUUUGCCUCAUCAGAUUCACAAAAUACUACAUCAUGUUUUUUUCUAAAAAGUUUCAUUCUUUUAGGAUUUAUAUUUGGUCUUCCAUUUCAUUUUAGUUACUUUUUCUAUGUGCCAUGAAUUAAGGAUUAUUUUUCAUUUGUUUUUAGCAUAUUUACAUUUAAUUUUUGUGGUAUCAUGUGUUGAAAUGACUUAACCUUAUACAGUACACUUGUUUAGUAAAAUUCAAUCACCCCUAUAUGUACUUAUUUAUACUAUCAUACCAGUUAUUAAAAUAAACUUUUCAAUUUCCAC
rnacentral:lncRNA from 1 species